rnacentral:lncRNA from 10 species
GUCACUCCCAAGCCUGGAAGAGAAUGAGAAGGAGGCAGUAGAAUAUCAUUAUAAUCAUACUACUUGUCCCAGGGGAUCCAUGUAUUCUACUGAAGAGUGGGAGUAGUUCAAAAUGGAGAAAUGAGGAAACCAUGACAAAGAGUCUGGAUAAUCAUUAGAACUGAUUAAAGUCAGGCUGCCCUAGAUUGAAAAGUGUGUGCCUCUGCUCACAGAUGAAGAAAUAAGAAUGGAAGCAUAAUCAUUUGUCCGAGGUCACAGAGGGAGAUGAUUACACAGCUGGAAUAAACUCUCCUCCUUCAAUACCUGACUACUUGCACCAUCCAGCAGAUAUCCUCUACUACCAAGUCUCAACAGAUGGUUCAGCUGGUCUUUAAUGAACAAAAGGCAUUUGUGUAAUGGACUCUUAUUGCUCAAGAAGAAUUUCUUCCUUCCUGAAACAUGAGGAGAAACUGACAAAAACUGUCUCCUUGACCAAACCCUAGUCAGUUGCCUAUAAGCCCUGUAGGCUGUGACCUUAGUGUCUAUCCUUAUCAGACACGCAUUACACAACCAUAGCAACAGUCUUGCUAAGUUGGUUUAACCAGAACCCCUACCCUUGAUAUCUGAUUUAAUUUAUAAUUCCCCUGAGUCCCCGAGGUGACAUCCAUUCAUCCUGGCCAGCUUUCAAUAAGAAUCCUAUUGGAUUAUUUAGCUAGAAAUCACCCCUUACACUUAAUGCUUCCUUUUAGUAAUUUUGCAUCCACUAACCCCGACCUUGCUCGUUGGCUAUAAAUCCACAAGUUGUCCGUGUUGUGUUUGGAAUUGAUUACAAUUCUAUAUUGAGGUCUCUUUUCCCAUAUUGCAAUAGUUCCUGAUUAAAAUCUGCUUUUGCCCAUUGAUAUGGUUUGGUUGUGUACCCACUCAAAUCUCAUCUUGAAUUGUAGCUCCCAUGAUUCCCAUAAUUGAAUCAUGGCAGCAGUUUACCCCAUACUGUUCUUGUGGUAGUGAAUAAGUCUCAUGAGAUCUGAUGGUUUUAUAAGGGGUUUCCACUUUCACUUGAUUCUGACUCUCUUUUGUUUGCCGCUAUGUAAGACAUGCCUUUCACCUUCUGCCAUAAUUGUGAAGCCUCCCCAGCCACAUGGAACUGUGAGUCCGUUAAACCUCAUUUUCUUUAUAUAUAAAUUACCCAGUCUCAGGUAUGUCUUUAUCAGCAGCAUGAAAAUGGACUAAUACACUCCUUUAACUGUGUAGCUCUGGUGUUCUUUGAUGAGCUAGAAACUGUAAAUCUCUGGAAGUCAAAUCUUCAUUUGAACUGGUUGUUAUAUAUUAUUGAUUCUCUCAAUUAUUUAGUUAAAUAAAAGUCUUGACAUGUUAAAUUUGUA